AGAGUUUGAUCCUGGCUCAGAAUGAACGUUGGCGGCGUGCCUAACACAUGCAAGUCGAGCGUGAAAGUCCUUCGGGAUGAGUAAAGCGGCGGACGGGUGAGUAACGCGUGAGAAUUUACCUUUUAGUGGAGAAUACCUUUGAGAAAUCAAAGUUAAUACUGCAUACGUCUCGAAAGAGAGAAAGAUGGCCUAAUUGCUGUCGCUAGAAGAUAAGCUUGCGUUCUAUUAGUUAGUUGGUGAGGUAAUGGCUCACCAAGACGAUGAUGGAUAGCCGGCCUGAGAGGGCGAACGGCCACAUUGGAACUUAGACACGGUCCAAACUCCUACGGGAGGCAGCAGUGAGGAAUAUUGCACAAUGGGCGAAAGCCUGAUGCAGCGACGCCGCGUGGAGGAUGAAGGUUUUCGGAUUGUAAACUCCUGUUAAG
rnacentral:rRNA from 1 species